rnacentral:tRNA from 1 species
GUCCUGAUAGGGUAGUGGAUAUCCUGGAAGCCUGCGGAGCUUUCGACCUGAGUUCGAGUCUCAGUCGGGACG